rnacentral:lncRNA from 1 species
GAACAAUCGAAUAGGUAGAGUGCAAGCAGUUUUUGGAGCAGUUGAUCAAAAUAUGUAUGUAAUGUAAUGCAAAGAUGCUGUAGUGUUGAUUAACGGUGGACCCUGCGCUGGAGGACGGCGGCGACUGCGACUGCGACUGCAAGAAGAUCAAGAGGCGCGUGUGACCAGCGCAGCCAAAACGAAGCUUAGUUUGUAAGUGUCAGAGGAGUACGGGUACGGGUACGGGUACGACCAGUGUUGUAAAAAGCGGAUGGAGUUUUGUAAUUUAUAUUGUAUUUUUGAGCGCCAAAAAGUUCCUUGUUACAUUUUUUAGUUUUAGCGUUUCACACACAACUCACACACAAAAAACGGAAACGGAGACGGAAAUCGAAACAAAAACUAAAACAUAAACAACAACAAAAACCAAAACCAAAACCAAAAAGAAAAUCUUUUAAAAUUGCAUUUUAAAUUCAAAUCUGACUGUAUGUGUUCAAUGUGUGCGUGACUGUAUCGGUGUGAUAGCUUUGUCUGUGUGCUUGUGAGAGUGCAUGUGUGUGCAUGUAUUUGUGAGCGAAAAUCAAUUUUAAUUGUUUAUUUAUUUGUGCAUAUUUUUCACAUUAUUUUUAGCAAAAGCGCAGAUACACGUCGCAUGGGUAAAACGAUGCUGCAUAAAAGUCAAAGAAAAAAAAAGCAAACUAUUUUUAGCAUAAAUAAGUAAACUAAAUACGAUAAACUCUACAUUUAAAUUAGUCAAUAAGUCGUACGUAGUUGUAGCAAAUAAAUAUUUCGAUAAGUGAACUCCAUGAAAAACCUAACAUUAAAGAGCAUAAAAUAACAAAAAAAGAAACGAAUGCCGGACAGUGGGCCGCAGGGCAAACUCGGUACGUAGAAGCGCGAAAUUCUGAACUAAAUUUAGUUGGAUGUUGUUCGAAACGUCGAGACACACCCACACACACACACACACAUUUUUACGAGUACUAUCGAGACACCACACAACAUACACUCCCAACACACACACGAAUAUUUAUAUUAUUAUAUAUCGAGCUCUAUUAUACACACAAAAUUAUAUCUAGGUAUAUAUAUAUAUAGAGUAGGUAUUUAUAGGAUUGCAGCUAGUAAAAUCACAUACUACCAACCAACUACUCGUGCUAAAUGGAAAACAACAAAUUAAAUUAAAAACACACACACACAAUUUCACAGACAGACGGAACAACAAUAAUACGAAUAAAAGUUAUAAUAACUCUAAAAAAACCCAUUUCAUUGGUGCAUUUUGAGCACUUUGUUUGUAACAUUUGAAGCAAUUUGUUCAAUUAAAUUAUUGAGAAUUAUUCGCAGUCCAGUCGGUUCAUUUUGAUGAAUGUUUAUGAGUGUUUCCCAUUCAAUUUAAAUCUUUUUAUAUACCUACUCUUGCCUGUGAAGCGCCGCCUCAUUAUGCAUUCAGCGUGGCAUUCCAAAAACCUUUGGCAAGUUCAGUUUAAAAUAAAACUUUUUAAUUACUUUCACCGGGUUCUGGGAACACCGUCAAUUUAAAUGCCGAAGCCACAAGCUUGGCCCCCAAAUAUUUCUGCAUUUUUAAUUGAUUUUGCAAAAGUUGUUCGCCACUAGAGCAACAAGAACAGUAAAAAUUAACCAAAAUGCUGCGAAUGGGCAUGGCCUGCUGCCAGCUGUGUGGCACUGGCAGCAAUACCGCGAGGCAUGCAACAAAUUAAGUACGGAAUGCAAUUUGCGUUUGUAUAAGGUUGUGGGUGUGCGCUUGUGUGUGUUUUUGCAGUUAAUAAAAAGCGAAAAGUAAACGAAAAUGAAAACACACAAUCUGAGGAGAAAAUACAGAGAAAAGUUGGCAAAGCCACCAUAAAUGAAAAGUGCAGAAAACUAUUAGCCAAGAAUGCCGCGACAACGACAACGGCAACGGCAACGGCAACGGCAACGGCAACUCAGGCUCGUCGACCGACUGGCAGGAGGCAGGGACGAAGUGUGCUGGCAAAAGUUUAAUUAAAAUUCCUAAUCGAAAAUAUUCAGCAUUUGUGAAUGGGAACUAAUUAAAAUAGUUCUCCCAGCAAAGCGAUUGUGCCACUCCAACGAGAAGAGAGAGAAAGUGCAACAGUGGGGAGAUAAAGAAUAUUUUAUAUACGACCACGAAUGUUCGUACUUGUAUGCAGGAAUUCUCUUAACCCAAUCUAAAAGUCACUGAAAUGCUGCAACUUUUAAAUGUAAGACCGCAAACUAUUCAAAUUAUAUGAACAGAGUCGCUCCAUGCCCAAAAACAACACACAACAAAUAAUACAAAUAGAGAAAAAGAAGAGGAGUCGUGGCUAAAAACGAAGAAACCAAUUUAAAUCGAGAAAUGCCAAGUUUGGGUGUAUUAAAUGUAAAGUGCAUAAAAAUCAACAGUUAACAUUUUUUAAAUACUUAGCUAUUAAAAUAAACGUAAUAUAAAUGUAACGAGAUAAACAACAAAUAUCAUAAAUGAAGUAAUUAAAUGCAAAAAUUUAAAAUUUAAACGGUGGAUAACUAAGAGAAAACUGCAACAACAACACACACACAAAACACUUUUAAAUCAACACAAAAAAAGAAAGAAAAAGAAAACAUCAGCUCCACACACACACACACGGCAUUAUAAUUGUGCAUCAAAUAUUAAAAGUAUUAAACUGAGCUUAUAAAAUUUAAACAAAACCAUAAAAGAGAAAAAACUAUGCAAAUGCCAACGCAAAUUGGACACAGGAAAAAAAGAGGGGGGGAGGAAAAAAACAGUUUGACACAAGUCUCGACAUCCGUAUAAUAAAAAAAAAGUCUGAAAAAAAUAUAUAGAAAACAGAAACACCACACACGACGACACCUACGAUGUAUACAUAAAUACAUGCAUAGAAUAUACAUAUGUAUAGGCAAAACUGAAUAACCACUAAAUAAAAAGCAUCAGCAGCAGCACGAACAUUAAAAUGAAAUAAAUAAAGCAACUAAUUGCUGGCAGAUGAAAGCAAUUGGGAAUAAAUGGAUGAAACGAAGAAAAUCCAUCAAAAAAUAGCACUCAACCCAUCCCAACAUUUAGGCAAAAUGGAGAGGCACUCGUACUUUUUUGUUUUUCUUAAAUCACUAAAUAAAAAGAGAUCUUUUUAGUGUGUGUGCUUGUAAAUACAAAAAUAUUGAUGUAGUG